rnacentral:rRNA from 1 species
GACGAACGCUGGCGGCGUGCUUAACACAUGCAAGUCGAACGAAGAGCGAUGGAAGCUUGCUUCUAUCAAUCUUAGUGGCGAACGGGUGAGUAACGCGUAAUCAACCUGCCCUUCAGAGGGGGACAACAGUUGGAAACGACUGCUAAUACCGCAUACGAUCUGACCUCGGCAUCGAGGAUAGAUGAAAGGUGGCCUCUAUUUAUAAGCUAUCACUGAAGGAGGGGAUUGCGUCUGAUUAGCUAGUUGGAGGGGUAACGGCCCACCAAGGCGAUGAUCAGUAGCCGGUCUGAGAGGAUGAACGGCCACAUUGGGACUGAGACACGGCCCAGACUCCUACGGGAGGCAGCAGUGGGGAAUCUUCCGCAAUGGACGAAAGUCUGACGGAGCAACGCCGCGUGAGUGAUGACGGCCUUCGGGUUGUAAAGCUCUGUUAAUCGGGACGAAAGGCCUUCUUGCGAAUAGUUAGAAGGAUCGACGGUA